GACGAACGCUGGCGGCGUGCUUAACACAUGCAAGUCGAACGGAAAGGCCCUGCUUUUGUGGGGUGCUCGAGUGGCGAACGGGUGAGUAACACGUGAGUAACCUGCCCUUGACUUUGGGAUAACUUCAGGAAACUGGGGCUAAUACCGGAUAGGAGCUCCUGCUGCAUGGUGGGGGUUGGAAAGUGUCGGCGGUUGUGGCUGGUCUCGCGGCUUAUGAGCUUGUUGGUGGGGUAGUGGCUUACCAAGGCUUUGACGGGUAGCCCGCCUGAGAGCGUGACCGGCGACAAUGGGACUGAGAUACGGCGCAGACGCCUACGGGAGGCAGCAGUGGGGAGUAUUGCACAAUGGGCGGAAGCCUGAUACAGCAACCCCGCGUGCGGGAUGACGGCCUUCGGGUUGUAAACCGCUUUGGCCUGUGACGAAGCGGGAGUGACGGUAAUGGGUAAAGAAGCACCGGCUAACUACGUG
rnacentral:rRNA from 1 species